rnacentral:rRNA from 1 species
GACGAACGCUGGCGGCGUGCUUAACACAUGCAAGUCGAACGGAAAGGCCCUGCUUUUGUGGGGUGCUCGAGUGGCGAACGGGUGAGUAACACGUGAGUAACCUGCCCUUGACUUUGGGAUAACUUCAGGAAACUGGGGCUAAUACCGGAUAGGAGCUCCUGCUGCAUGGUGGGGGUUGGAAAUUUUCGGCGUUUGGGGAUGGACGCGCGGCUUAUCCGCUUGUUGGUGGGGUAGUGGCUUACCAAGGCUUUGACUGGUAGCCGGCCUGAGAGGGUGACCGGCCACAUUGGGACUGCGAUACGGCCCAGACUCCUACGGGAGGCAGCAGGGGGGAAUAUUGCACAAUGGGCGGAAGCCUGAUGCAGCAACGCCGCGUGCGGGAUGACGGCCUUCGGGUUGUAAACCGCUUUCGCCUGUGACGAAGCGUGAGUGACGGUAAUGGGUAAAGAAGCACCGGCUAACUACGUG